UACGUAGGUUGCGAGCGUUGUCCGGAAUCACUGGGCGUAAAGCGCACGCAGGCGGCUUCGGAAGUCCAAGGUGAAAGCCCUGGGCCCAACCCAGGGAGGCCCUUGGAAACUCUGGAGCUCGAAGAUUGGAGAGGCGGAUGGAAUUUCCGGUGUAGCGGUAAAAUGCGUAGAUACCGGAAGGAACACCAGUGGCGAAAGCGAUCCGCUGGCCAACUCUUGACGCUCAGGUGCGAAAGCUAGGGGAGCGACCGGG
rnacentral:misc_RNA from 1 species